CAAAAGCUUGGUCCUGACUUUACUGUCGAUUUUGAUUAAAUUUAUACAUGCAAGUUUCCGCACCCCUGUGAGAAUGCCCUACCUACCCCCACCCGGGAAAGAGGAGCCGGUAUCAGGCGCAACUCCCUGUUGGCCCACGACACCUUGCUUAGCCACACCCCCAAGGGAACCCAGCAGUAAUAAACAUUAAGCCAUAAGUGUAAACUUGACUUAGUUAGUAUCAAUAAGGGCCGGUUAACCUCGUGCCAGCCACCGCGGUUAUACGAGGGACCCAAGUUGACAGAAAACGGCGUAAAGAGUGGUUAAUGAGAGACAUGAUAAAGCCAAAUACCAUCAAGGCUGUUAUACGCAUCCGAUAGCAAGAGGAACCCACACGAAAGUAGCUUUAGUAAGCAUGACCCCACGAAAGCUAGGGAACAAACCGGGAUUAGAUACCCCGCUAUGCCCAGCCGUAAACAAAGGUGACGCCUCACUACGUCAUUCGCCCGGGUACAACGAGCCCCAGCUUAAAACCCAAAGGACUUGGCGGUGCUUUAGACCCCCCUAGAGGAGCCUGUUCUAGAAUCGAUUUUCCCCGUUCAACCUCACCCCCUCUUGUUCUUCCCGCCUGUAUACCGCCGUCGUCAGCUUACCCUGUGAAGGUAAAGUAGUAAGCACAAUUGGCACAGCCCAAAAAGUCAGGUCAAGGUGUAGCGUAUGAGGGGGGAAGAAAUGGGCUACAUUUGCUGGGUCAGCAAAUACGGAUGUUGCACUGAAAUAAGCAUCUGAAGGAGGAUUUAGUAGUAAGGCAAGACAAGAGAGCUUCCCUGAAACCGGCCCUGAAGCGCGCACACACCGCCCGUCACUCUCCCCGAUGGACCUAGUAAUAUAAUUAAUAACGCAAAAGACACUAAGGGGAGGUAAGUCGUAACAUGGUAAGUUUACCGGAAGGUGUACUUGGAUUAAACCC
rnacentral:ncRNA from 1 species